rnacentral:misc_RNA from 1 species
GAUGAAGAACGUAGCGAAAUGCGAUAAGUAAUGUGAAUUGCAGAAUUCAGUGAAUCAUCGAAUCUUUGAACGCACAUUGCGCCCCUUGGUAUUCCGGGGGGCAUGCCUGUUCGAGCGUCAUUUCAACCCCUCAAGCUCGGCUUGGUGUUGGGCUGCGCCAGCGUUGCUGGCGGGCCUUAAAAUCAGUGGCGGUGCCGUUUGGGCUCCAAGCGUAGUAGCAUCUCUCGCUCUGGAGACCCGGCGGUUGCUUGCCAGACAAUCACCAAAAAAACAAAGGUUUGACCUCGGAUCAGGUAGGGAUACCCGCUGAACUUAAGCAUAUCAAUAAGCGGAGGA